rnacentral:sRNA from 1 species
UUACAAGGGAAAGAGAUUUGGUAGAAGGAAAGCAAACUGCACUUACAAAUAGCUUAGGCGGCUGGAGGCUCAGAAUCAAGAAAGAAGAAAAUCCAAGUCAGGAGCAGGAAAAGGUAAACUGACUCGCAGUCUUGCUGUCUGUGAGGAAUCUUCUGCCAGACCAGGAGGUGAAAGUCUUCAGGAUCAGACUCUCUGAAAACUGCAAAUGGAAAGGAAUUCAAAAGAAUUUAGAUUAAAAGUUAAAUAAAAAGUAGGCACAGUAGUGCUGAAUUUUCCUCAAAGGCUCUCUUUUGAUAAGGCUGAACCAAAUAUAAUCCCAAGUAUCCUCUCUCCUUCCUUGUUGGAGAUGUCUUACCUCUCAGCUCCCCAAAAUGCACUUGCCUAUAAGAAACACAAUUGCUGGUUCAUAUGAAACUUAGGAAAUAGUGAAUAAGGUGCAUUUAACUUUGGAGAAAUACUUUUAUGGCUUUGGUGGAGAUUUCUCAAUACUGCAAAAGUUGUCCAGAAAUGAAUCUGAGCUGAUGGUGACUUUAAUAUUAUUAAUAUAUCACUGCAUAUUUUUACCCUUAUUU